GACGACGACGUCGUGUUGUGGAGGAGCAGCCGCCUUAUUUCAUAUUAUUAAUAAGAGGAGGAGAAGCAAACAAGAAGUCUUCUCUUAUGGUGGGGGAAGAAAAA
rnacentral:rRNA from 1 species